rnacentral:rRNA from 1 species
CAUGCAAGUCGAGCGCAGUCCUUCGGGACCGAGCGGCGGACGGGUUAGUAACGCGUGGGAACAUACCCUUUUCUACGGAAUAGCCUCGGGAAACUGAGAGUAAUACCGUAUAAGCCCUUCGGGGGAAAGAUUUAUCGGGAAAGGAUUGGCCCGCGUUAGAUUAGAUAGUUGGUGGGGUAAUGGCCUACCAAGUCUACGAUCUAUAGCUGGUUUUAGAGGAUGAUCAGCAACACUGGGACUGAGACACGGCCCAGACUCCUACGGGAGGCAGCAGUGGGGAAUCUUAGACAAUGGGCGCAAGCCUGAUCUAGCCAUGCCGCGUGUGUGAUGAAGGUCUUAGGAUCGUAAAGCACUUUCGCCAGGGAUGAUAAUGACAGUACCUGGUAAAGAAACCCCGGCUAACUCCGUGCCAGCAGCCGCGGUAAUACGGAGGGGGUUAGCGUUGUUCGGAAUUACUGGGCGUAAAGCGUACGUAGGCGGAUCAGAAAGUUAGGGGUGAAAUCCCGAGGCUCAACCUCGGAACUGCCUCUAAAACUCCUGGUCUUGAGUUCGAGAGAGGUGAGUGGAAUUCCAAGUGUAGAGGUGAAAUUCGUAGAUAUUUGGAGGAACACCAGUGGCGAAGGCGGCUCACUGGCUCGAUACUGACGCUGAGGUACGAAAGUGUGGGGAGCAAACAGGAUUAGAUACCCUGGUAGUCCACACCGUAAACGAUGAAUGCCAGUCG